rnacentral:rRNA from 1 species
UACAGAGGGGGCAAGCGUUGUUCGGAAUUACUGGGCGUAAAGGGCGCGUAGGCGGCCUGUUAAGUCGGACGUGAAAUCCCUCGGCUCAACCGGGGAACUGCGUCUGAUACUGGCGGGCUUGAAUUCGGGAGAGGGAUGUGGAAUUCCGGGUGUAGCGGUGAAAUGCGCAGAUAUCCGGAGGAACACCGGUGGCGAAGGCGGCUUCCUGGACCGACACUGACGCUGAGGCGCGAAAGCUAGGGGAGCAAACGGG